CCUUGUACAGAGGGAUAGCCUUUAGAAAUGAAGAUUAAUACCUCAUAGUACUGAGAUGUGGCAUCACAAUUUAGUUAAAGAUUUAUCGGUACAAGAUGACUAUGCGUCCUAUUAGCUAGAUGGUAAGGUAACGGCUUACCAUGGCAACGAUAGGUAGGGGGUCUGAGAGGAUUAUCCCCCACACUGGUACUGAGACACGGACCAGACUCCUACGGGAGGCAGCAGUGAGGAAUAUUGGUCAAUGGAGGCAACUCUGAACCAGCCAUGCCGCGUGCAGGAAGACUGCCCUAUGGGUUGUAAACUGCUUUUAUAUGGGAAGAAACAAUUCUACGUGUAGAAUCUUGACGGUACCAUAAGAAUAAGCACCGGCUAACUCCGUGCCAGCAGCCGCGGUAAUACGGAGGGUGCAAGCGUUAUCCGGAAUCAUUGGGUUUAAAGGGUCCGCAGCGGUUGAUUAAGUCAGAGGUGAAAUCCUACAGCUUAACUGUAGAACUGCCUUUGAUACUGGUCGACUUGAGUUAUACGGAAGUAGGUAGAAUAUGUAGUGUAGCGGUGAAAUGCAUAGAUAUUACAUAGAAUACCGAUUGCGAAGCAGAUCACUAACAAUGUAUUGACGCUAAGGGACGAAAGCGUGGGUAGCGAACAGGAUUAGAUACCCUGGUAGUCCACGCCGUAAACGAUGGUCACUAGCUGUUUGGACUUCGGUCUGAGUGGCUAAGCGAAAGUGAUAAGUGACCCACCUGGGGAGUACGUUCGCAAGAAUGAAACUCAAAGGAAUUGACGGGGGCCCGCACAAGCGUGGAGCAUGUGGUUUAAUUCGAAGCAACCGCAGAACCUUACCAACCCUUGACAUCCUAUGACCG
rnacentral:rRNA from 1 species